rnacentral:rRNA from 1 species
AGUGAACGCUGGCGGUAGGCCUAACACAUGCAAGUCGAACGGCAGCACAGUAAGAGCUUGCUCGUACGGUUGGCGAGUGGCGGACGGGUGAUGAAUAAAUCGGAAUCUACUUUUUCGUGGGUGAGAACGUAGGGAAACGUACGCUAAUACCGCAUACGACCUACGGGUGAAAGCAGUGUAUCUUCGGACCUUGCGCGAUUGAAUGAGCCGAUGUCGGAUUAGCUAGUUGGCGGGGUAAAGGCCCACCAAGGCGACGAUCCGUAGCUGGUCUGAGAGGAUGAUAAGCCACACUGGAACUGAGCCACGGUCCCGACUACUACGAGAGGCAGCAGUGGGGAACAUUGGACAAUGGUGGCAAGCAUGAUCCAGCGAUACCGAGUCGGUGACGAAGGCGUUGCGGUUGUAAAGACGUUUUGUUGGGAAAGAAAAGCAGCAGGUUAAUACCAAGCUGUUCUGACGGUACCCACAGAAUAAGCACCGGCUAACUUCGUG